rnacentral:rRNA from 1 species
AGUGAACGCUGGCGGUAGGCCUAACACAUGCAAGUCGAACGGCAGCACAGUAAGAGCUUGCUCUUACGGGUGGCGAGUGGCGGACGGGUGAGGAAUACAUCGGAAUCUACUUUUUCGUGGGGGAUAACGUAGGGAAACUUACGCUAAUACCGCAUACGACCUACGGGUGAAAGCAGGGGAUCUUCGGACCUUGCGCGAUUGAAUGAGCCGAUGUCGCAUUAGCUAGUUGGCGGGGUAAAGGCCCACCAAGGCGACGAUCCGUAGCUGGUCUGAGAGGAUGAUCAGCCACACUGGAACUGAGACACGGUCCAGACUCCUACGGGAGGCAGCAGUGGGGAAUAUUGGGCAAUGGGCGCAAGCCUGAUCCAGCAAUACCGCGUGAGUGAAGAAGGCCUUCGGGUUGUAAAGCCCUUUUGUUGGGAAAGAAAAGCAGCAGGUUAAUACCCCGAUGUUCUGACGGUACCCAAAGAAUAAGCACCGGCUAACUUCGUG